rnacentral:rRNA from 1 species
UACGGAGGGUGCAAGCGUUAUCCGGAUUCACUGGGUUUAAAGGGUGCGUAGGUGGGCAGGUAAGUCAGUGGUGAAAUCUCCGGGCUUAACUCGGAAACUGCCAUUGAUACUAUCUGUCUUGAAUACCGUGGAGGUCAGCGGAAUAUGUCAUGUAGCGGUGAAAUGCUUAGAUAUGACAUAGAACACCAAUUGCGAAGGCAGCUGGCUACGCGGAUAUUGACACUGAUGCACGAAAGCGUGGGAUCAAACAGG